ensembl:misc_RNA
UUGACAGCUCUGAAGUCUGCAUUCCUCUAUUUAUCCUUAGGACAGGUACAGCAUGGGCAGCUGUGACAACUUCCCCCAUACCGAACCUUCCUCAACUCCAUGCCAGUGGGACCCAAUCAGUCACUAUGGGCCAGCUUCCAGCCAAAAAAAGGGAAGUCAAUGCCCAUGCCCAUUCUAUUCUUGCUUCACU